rnacentral:rRNA from 1 species
UGGGUAACCUGCCUUAUAGUGGGGGAUAGCCUUUCGAAAGGAAGAUUAAUACCGCAUAAGAUUGUAGUAUCGCAUGAUAUAGCAAUUAAAGGAGCAAUCCGCUAUAAGAUGGACCCGCGUCGCAUUAGCUAGUUGGUGAGGUAAUGGCUCACCAAGGCGACGAUGCGUAGCCGACCUGAGAGGGUGAUCGGCCACAUUGGGACUGAGACACGGCCCAGACUCCUACGGGAGGCAGCAUGG